AGCAGCCGCGGUAAUUCCAGCUCCAAUAGCGUAUAUUAAAGUUGUUGCAGUUAAAAAGCUCGUAGUUGAAUUUCGGGGUUAGUACGCUGGUCAUGCCUUCGGUAUGUACUGGUGUUACCGAUUCCUACCUUCUGAAGAACCGUCAUGUCAUUAGUUUGGUGUGGCGGGGAAUCAGGACUGUUACUUUGAAAAAUUAGAGUGUUUAAAGCAGGCUCGCGCUUGAAUACAUUAGCAUGGAAUAAUGAAAUAGGACGUUCGAUCCUAUUUUGUGGUUUCUAGGAUUGACGUAAUGAUUAAUAGGGAUAGUUGGGGGCAUUAGUAUUCAAUUGUCAGAGGUGAAAUUCUUGGAUUUAUUGAAGACUAACUACUGCGAAAGCAAUUUGCCAAGGAUGUUUUCAUUAAUCAAGAACGAAAGUUAGGGGAUCGAAGACGAUCAGAUACCGUCGUAGU
rnacentral:rRNA from 1 species